UAAUUAUUAACGUACAUAACGUUGGAAGUUUAAUGUUUCUUAUUAGUAUAAUCAUCUUAAUUCUGAUUUUUUCUAACUCUCUGUAUUAAAGGCUCCUUAUUAGAAAUACUAAAUUUAACAUUAACGUUUUCUUUCCAGACUCUCCGAAAGCAAAUCGAAGAAAUCGAAUGAAAUCGACAAAAGACUGUCCACCAUGCGGGAAGAGGAGGAAACAAACUCGGACGAUGCCAACCAUCACCGUCAAUUAAACCACCAGAAACGAACGCAGGUUUAGAGCAAUUCAAUUAUGCGUACUCCUUCCAUACAAAGUCGAAACCGACUCAAGUGAAACCAUCCCAUAAAACUUAAAACACGCUACAGUUCGUCAUCCUGUAUUUUUUUUUGUCUACCAAACUCCAACAAAUCAUAGCGCGUGCCCAAUACUCAUAGGUUUUAAGUGUCCAGUGUGUGUACAGUUCGAUAAACGUGUGAUAUUUUAAACCCCAGAUUUAUAAACUGAAACACGAAUUCUGGAUGAACUCGUCGCGGGGUGGCAACAAAACUGCCGGAACGAAGCACAACGACACCGGAUACGGAGAACGAGACGCUUCCGAGACGCAAGUUUGAGAGACGAUCUAGGACAGGUCGUCCGCCGUCAUCGUUGAAAGUUGUUAGAUUUAUAGAGCCAAACAUGUGGCACGAGUUGUGAUUCGACUGAAGAAGACAGCACAACUGCUCAAAUAUGUAUCUGGGAGAAUCUGGAACCGGAAAUAAAUCAUGGAUAGGUGAAGGGCCAACCGUAAGAUCAGGUGCUACCAGCAGUACCUCUAGGUCAAUGUAGUUGCAUCGCAAUUGCCAUACAUAUUAUCAGUAUAGAAUAGUAUGGCUGAAAUAAGCUCUUUUACCCAAUUAGACCACAAUUUUAUAAAUGAAAAUGAGAUAAGUAAUAGAAGUAUUCGAACGCGUGUCUCAAUUAUUAGAAAGCAUUCUCGGUUGAAAUACAGACCUCAACCGUUUAAACCGAAUACGAUGACGUUCAGUGAAUAAGACUUAACCAAUUGUGAAACUUGAACCUGACAACUAUUGAUAUAAUAAACGAUUGUAAAACGUAA